rnacentral:rRNA from 1 species
AUGUACAUUCCUACAACAUAGAGUUAAUGCACCGGAUCCUAUUAGAAAUCUGUAGUUAAGUGCGCUCAGGAUAGAGUAGUACUUGGAUGGGUGACCACCUAGGAAGUGCUAGUAUUUUACAUG